CUUAGGGGCCAAGCCUUUAUGAGCAAAGGGGCGUAAAGGGUGUGUAGGCGAACUGCCCCACCCCCCCCCCCAAGGUGGUAAAUGGAAUGAUUCUGUAGCGGUAGAAUGUGCGGAUAGAAAAUAGAACCCCAAAAGCUGAAGCAAUUUACCGCGGGGUGGGAGGGGGGCCCCCUGGGGCGCCCCCCGGGCUACGGGCUGAAACACGAGGGUGUGGGGGACAAACAGGAUUAGAGACCCUGGUAGUCCACACUGUAAACGAUGGAGAAAAUGCGAAUGCAAUCCCGAAAGGCAGCAAUCUCCCGCCUGAGUAGUACGAUCGCAAGAUUAAAAUUCAAAAAAUUUGGCUGUUCACCGUUUCGAUUAGAGGAGCGUGUAGUUUAAUUCGAUAAACCGCGAGAUACCUUACCCAAACUUGAAUCCUUGAGGAUUCUAAGGAAUCCUUAUGGACCGGUAUUGCAUGGCCGUCGUCAGUUCGUGUAUGAAACUUAAAACGGACCCAACCCGAGGAUUAGCCGCGGAUGAAGUCAGGUCUUAUGGUCCCAAUGUUUGGGGAUAAUAUGCGCUACAUUUUCUUAUACAAUGGGAAACCUGGGAGGUGAAACCCAAAAGUGAGAGUUCGGUAGGCUAUUGGAAGAUGGCCGAAAGUUGAAUUUAAUAGUAAUCGGAAAGUAUAGCGUUCCGGUGAAAUGGUCUAGGUGUUAGCACAAAUCGCCCGUCACCUUAACUUAGGAUGAUGGUUCGGACGCCGCCGCGCCCCCGCGGGCCCCGGCGGUUACGGGCCCCUACGAAGUUAAGCAAGUCGUAACAUAGUGAGGGGAGGGGAACCUCCCCUUGAUCCUUUGGUUUUGGGGAAAAUAGAAGACAAGUGGACCUUCUAAUACAUGCUAGUGCGCGCUCUCCCCUAUGGGAGAAGCCUGCCCGCGCACAGGUGAGGAAACCCGGCUACCCCACCCCCAGGCUUUGUUGGGGGCUGGGCCGGAGACGUAUUAGGUAUGAGGGCGGUAUUAAAGACCUACCCUGCCGAAGAUGCGUAACAAUCAACCCGGAGUCACACUUUCACUGGAACAAGGGGAAGGCUCAUUAAGUCCGUUAGGGACGAGGCAGCAGUAGAGAAUAUUGUGCAAUGUACGGCAGUAUGACACAGAGAGCACACACCCUCUUGGCCUGUCCAACUAAGUGCCAGCAGACGCGGUUAGA
rnacentral:rRNA from 1 species